UAGAGUUUGAUCCUGGCUCAGAACGAACGCUGGCGGCGUGCUUAAGACAUGCAAGUCGAACGGUAAGGCACCUUCGGGUGCACACGAGUGGCGCACGGGUGAGUAACGCGUGGGUAAUCUACCCUCGGGUUGGGGACAACCCUGGGAAACUGGGGCUAAUACCAAAUGAGACUACGACGUCCCCGGAGUCAUCCGAAAAAAGAUGGCCUCUCCUUGGAAGCCAUCGCCCACCGAUGUGCCCGCGUCGCAUUAGUUAGUUGGUGAGGUAAAAGCUCACCAAGGCUUUGAUGCGUAGCUGGUCUGAGAGGAUGAUCAGCCACACUGGAACUGAGACACGGUCCAGACUCCUACGGGAGGCAGCAGUCGGGAAUUUUGGGCAAUGGGCGAAAGCCUGACCCAGCAACGCCGCGUGAGGGAUGAAGGCCUUCGGGUCGUAAACCUCUGUCGGGAGGGACGAACGUUCUGUGGGUAAAUAAUCCAGUGGUCUGACGGUACCUCCAAAGGAAGCGCCGGCUAACUCCGUGCCAGCAGCCGCGGUAAUACGGAGGGCGCAAGCGUUGUUCGGAAUCAUUGGGCGUAAAGCGCGCGUAGGCGGCUUGGCAAGUCGGGUGUGAAAGCCCGGGGCCCAACCCCGGAACUGCAUUCGAUACUGCCUAGCUAGAGUCCCGGAGGGGAAGGCGGAAUUCCCGGUGUAGAGGUGAAAUUCGUAGAUAUCGGGAGGAACACCAGCGGCGAAGGCGGCCUUCUGGACGGUGACUGACGCUGAGACGCGAAAGCGUGGGGAGCAAACAGGAUUAGAUCCCCUGGUAGUCCACGCCGUAAACGUUGGGUGCUAGGUGUCGCGGGUAUUGACCCCUGCGGUGCCGACGUUAACGCAUUUAGCACCCCGCCUGGGGAGUACGGUCGCAAGGCUAAAACUCAAAGGAAUUGACGGGGGCCCGCACAAGCGGUGGAGCAUGUGGUUUAAUUCGACCCAACGCGAAGAACCUUACCUGGGUUUGAACUGCUUCGGACAACCCUAGAAACAGGGCCUUCCCUUCGGGGAGUUCUGUAGAGGUGCUGCAUGGCUGUCGUCAGCUCGUGUCGUGAGAUGUUGGGUUAAGUCCCGCAACGAGCGCAACCCUUGCCGUUAGUUGCCAUCAGGUCAAGCUGGGCACUCUAACGGGACUGCCGGUGGUAAACCGGAGGAAGGUGGGGAUGACGUCAAGUCCUCAUGGCCCCUAUGUCCCGGGCUACACACGUGCUACAAUGGCCGGUACAAAGGGAAGCAAUGCCGCGAGGUGGAGCCAAUCCCAAAAAACCGGUCUCAGUUCGGAUCGAAGUCUGCAACUCGACUUCGUGAAGUUGGAAUCGCUAGUAAUCGCGGAUCAGCAUGCCGCGGUGAAUACGUUCCCGGGCCUUGUACACACCGCCCGUCAAGCCAUGGAAGUCGGGGGUACCCGAAGUCGCUGUACCAACCCUCACGGGAGGAAGGCGCCGAAGGUAAAACUGAUGACUAGGGCUAAGUCGUAACAAGGUAGCCGUA
rnacentral:rRNA from 1 species